rnacentral:tRNA from 1 species
AUCUGGUUGGCUCAGUCAGUAGAGCAUGUGACUCUUGAUCUCGGGGUUGUGAGUUUAAGUCCCACGUUGGGUA